rnacentral:rRNA from 1 species
UACAGAGGGGGCAAGCGUUGUCCGGAAUUACUGGGCGUAAAGCGUACGCAGGUGGCCCCUCAAGUGUGAUGUGAAAGCCCCGCGCUUAACGCGGGGAGGCCAUUACAGACUGGGGAGCUCGAGGAGUGCAGAGGGUCGUGGAAUUGCCGGUGUAGUGGUGAAAUGCGUAGAGAUCGGCAGGAACACCAAGGACGAAGGUAGCGACCUGGGCACUUACUGACACUCAUGUACGACAGCGUGGGGAGCAAACCGG